rnacentral:rRNA from 1 species
UACAUGGGGUGCAAACGUUGCUCGGAAUUAUUGGGCGUAAAGCGCACGUAGGUGGUCCCUUAAGUCGGAUGUGAAAGCCCUCGGCUCAACUGAGGAAGUGCAUCCGAAACUGAGGGGCUGGAGUAUGGAAGAGGGUCGCGGAAUUCCCGGUGUAGAGGUGAAAUUCGUAGAUAUUGGGAAGAACACCGGUGGCGAAGGCGGCUCACUGGCUCAUAUCUGACGCUCAGGCGCGACAGCGUGGGGAUCAAACAGG